GUGCUUGCUUUGGCAGCAUGUAUACUAAAAUUUGAACAGUACAGAGAAGAUUAUCAUGGCCCCUGCACAAGGAUGGCAUGCAUGUUCAAAAAGUAUUCCAUAUUUCA